rnacentral:rRNA from 1 species
GCGGAGCUUGCUCCGCUGGAUCAGUGGCGAACGGGUGAGUAACACGUGGGCAACCUGCCCCAGACUUCGGGAUAACUCUUCGAAAGAGGCGCUAAUACCGGAUAUGAACUCUGCAGGCAUCUGCGAAGUUGGAAAGUUUUUCGGUCUGGGAUGGGCCCGCGGCCUAUCAGCUAGUUGGUGAGGUAGUGGCUCACCAAGGCGACGACGGGUAGCCGGCCUGAGAGGGCGACCGGCCACACUGGGACUGAGACACGGCCCAGACUCCUACGGGAGGCAGCAGUGGGGAAUAUUGCGCAAUGGGCGAAAGCCUGACGCAGCAACGCCGCGUGCGGGAUGAAGGCCUUCGGGUUGUAAACCGCUUUCAGCAGGGAAGAAGCGAAAGUGACGGUACCUGCAGAAGAAGCACCGGCUAACUACGUGCCAGCAGCCGCGGUAAUACGUAGGGUGCAAGCGUUGUCCGGAUUUAUUGGGCGUAAAGAGCUCGUAGGCGGUUAGUCGCGUCGGAUGUGAAAACCCAGUGCUUAACACUGGGCCUGCAUUCGAUACGGGCUGACUAGAGUGUUGUAGGGGAGACUGGAACUCCUGGUGUAGCGGUGAAAUGCGCAGAUAUCAGGAAGAACACCGGUGGCGAAGGCGGGUCUCUGGGCAA